AACGAGCGCAACCCUUGUCCUUAGUUACCAGCACGUUAUGGUGGGCACUCUAAGGAGACUGCCGGUGACAAACCGGAGGAAGGUGGGGAUGACGUCAAGUCAUCAUGGCCCUUACGGCCUGGGCUACACACGUGCUACAAUGGUCGGUACAAAGGGUUGCCAAGCCGCGAGGUGGAGCUAAUCCCAUAAAACCGAUCGUAGUCCGGAUCGCAGUCUGCAACUCGACUGCGUGAAGUCGGAAUCGCUAGUAAUCGUGAAUCAGAAUGUCACGGUGAAUACGUUCCCGGCCUU
rnacentral:rRNA from 1 species